CGAACGCUGGCGGCAUGGAUUAGGCAUGCAAGUCGAACGGGAGCAGCAAUGCUCCAGUGGCGCAAGGGUGAGGAACACGUGAACAACCUGCCUUCGAGUUGGGGAUAGCUUCUGGAAACGGGAGAUAAUACCGAAUAACAUCAUUUGGUCGCAUGACUGGAUGAUCAAAGCAGCAAUGCGCUUGAAGAGGGGUUCGCGUCCCAUUAGCUAGUUGGUGAGGUAACGGCCCACCAAGGCGAUGAUGGGUAGCUGGUCUGAGAGGACGACCAGCCACAUUGGGACUGAGAUACUGCCCAGACUCCUACGGGAGGCUGCAGUCGAGAAUUUUGCGCAAUGGGCGAAAGCCUGACGCAGCGACGCCGCGUGAGGGAUGAAGGUCUUUCCGGAUCGUAAACCUCUGUCGGAAGGGAAAAAUGUGCAGGGUGCCAAUCAGCCCUGCAUUGAUGGUACCUUCAGAGGAAGCACCGGCUAACUCCGUGCCAGCCGCUGC
rnacentral:rRNA from 1 species